GGAUGCGAUCAUACCAGCACUAAAGCACCGGAUCCCAUCAGAACUCCGAAGUUAAGCGUGCUUGGACGAGAGUAGUACUAGGAUGGGUGACCUCUUGGGAAGUCCUCGUGUUGCAUCCC
rnacentral:rRNA from 1 species